GAUUCAUGCUUACGGUUCCCCCCGAGGCUGCCUGGUGUGCCCUUCUCUGUUGCAGCAGCUCCUUCACUGUGAUCUUUACUCGGACACCUUGAUACAUCUUCGGUUUUUCUGGGGAAAGGAAACUGAGUCAGUGGUCAAGUCCAGGUUUGGGUGUCUGGCUGUGGAGUGAGGGGAUCCUUGAUAGGGUAUGGCACCCAACACCAAGUUUCUAGUUUUAGAGAACAUGAAGUGAAUGAAAACCAAAAAGAGGCUGAAUAGUUUCCAGGGCUCUAGUGGGAUGGAACACAGAUUAGCACACAGGUUGUUCUGCUCAGGAACGUGGUGCCCAGUCCAGGGGAACCCACUGCCUUGGCUAAGUAAAAGCCUCUGGGAGAGGCGAGGGUAUAUGGACAGAAGGGGCACUCUGACUCAAGGCAGUAGCCCUAGCUUGUCCCACCGUGAUGUCCUUCUCCACCAGGCCUAGCAUGGCUUCUGGGGAGGCUACGACCACUAUGUUCUCUUGGUCUGGAAGCCAGCUCAGGGGCAAGCCGGGUGUGGGGUGGGGUGGCUAGCUUGGUCUUGAGCCCAUGAGAGAUCUGCCAGACUGACCCCAGUAAAACAGCCAGGCCCAGGGAACUCCCUCACUGUCUCCCUCUCAUCCCUCUCCUUUCUACCAACUCUCCUUCAUCCCAGUCCCUUUCCUCCGCCUGGCCAGCUCUCCAUAUUUUCCUCCUCUUCCCUUCGGCCUCAUCCCAUCCCUGGUCUCCCUUUUCCCCGCUCUCCCACCACCCCUCCCUUUCUGGUGCAGGCAUUUCUCCGUGGCGCAGCGCGGGCUCCAGGGAAAGCCUCCAGGAGGAUCCCAAGGACCAUGCAAUAGCUGGGAGGCCGCCUCCGGAAGGGGCCGCCCCUGAGCUGUCGGGGGCUGGCUGCUUUGCCCCGGCAAACCCGAGAGACCCAGCGCGCGCCGCAGGGUCCACAUGGAGGGACCCCGCGCCCCAGGAGCGGGGGCUGCCAUGGCCCCGGCCCCCCAGAACCACAGAAAAACUGUGAAAACACACCCAGAUCGAAAUGCCCCUGGCCCACAUGACCCACCCCCGGAGAAGGAGCCGAGUUACCGGACAUCGUGGUCUGCAGGAGCUGGGUCAGAGCCUGGAUGCUGCAGCUGCAGGGACUCAGCGCCUGGGGAGGAUCCUGUGCAGGGAGAAAGGCAGAGAUGCGACAUUUUUAAAGUUUCACGAAGCAUCCAGCUGCACCUAGGUCCCUGGAGCAGGAGAUACACAGAAUUAAUGUUUUAUACCUUUGGGUAUAGGUUUGAGUUUUUUCCCCCUCAUGCCAAGUAUUUAAAACCUCUAGAAACCCAUGAUUUGACAAUCAAUGAUUGCGCGAUACUUUCAAUUUGAAUAUUCAAAGGCUUAACAAAAUGGACUAUCUUCUGCAGAAAUCCUGAAUACAGGCACCACACAGAGAGUCCAGAGAAACAGGGAGUGAGGCUCCUUUGGGUCCUGACCCUUGCUUUUCUUGUAUUUUGAGCAUUUUGUUCACUUUCCCACAGUCAGAGCAGGUGUCCUCAAAGAUGCUCUAUAUUUCUGCCUCAAAGACAGCUCAGAAGCCCAAAGUGUCUUAGGAUCACCCCCAUCACCAUCUGAGCCAGGCUGGCCAGCUGGACUUGUUCCCACACAUCCAACCUCCAUUUUAAGGGGAAAUCUCAGGUUUUGGUGAGUGAACAUGGCACCCAGGGGGUGUGGCACAGGAAGGGAUCACCCUGGGCCCAGAUUUCAGGCCAGAGGACAGCAGAGGCCUUAUCCUCGCACUUCUUGUCCUUCUGGCUCCGCCUGGCCACAUGCUGGCUUCCCUCCCCUUUUCAUUCUGUUCUUUGCCUGGGCCCUAAACACUGGGGCCUCAGCCCUGAAUGCCUGGCCACUAAGACCCUUUGCUCCUCCCCAUGGAGUAGGAGAUGCCUGCUACCUCACCUACCACAUAAUUUCUGAGGCUGGUGUUUCCUCACUGCACUGUGAAGUUCUCUCUUCUCUCAUCUUUCUCCUUCCAGCCACCCCUGUAGUACUAUGUGUUAGAACACUGAAACAGGCCUGGCUCCUGCUCAUUUUAGCUGAAAGGACAUGGAUCUGUUCCGAGGGCUUCUUAUUUUGGGGUUGUUUGAGGUCAGACUGCCCCUUUGGUCCAGGCCUGAGCCCCUUACAAAUGACUUGGAACUGCAUUGGUUCAUCUUUUCCAAGCACUGACUGUACCUCUUGCCUGUGAUUUGGAUGAUGGAAGAGGCAAAAGAAAUCCAGACAGGAAACAAGUACAGGCCAAAUCCUUUGUUAACUUCUAGGAGGAGGGAGCAGCACUGGAAGACAGAGAGAGAGGCAGGGUGAGGUUCCUUUUGCAAAUAACCAGAAUGUUCCUAGGAUGCCAGACCAGGUGAUGAUUAGAGGCCUCUGUGUUUUAAUCCUUGAGUUCUCUGAAAUGUAAAAAGAAAAAAAAGCUUGAACCUGAAAAAUAUCUAAAUGCCCUCAAAUAUGUCAGAUGCAGGGUGCAACAUAUGGAGCUCAGAUAAAGUAUGUCUCUAAGAAUGACAAGUGACAAGACUGUGAUUGAUAGGAAUGACAAGGAAGCCGAGGCCACAUAUCUGGGGGAAAGGAUCAGGGAUGGGGACACCUGAGGUAGCACCUGGCUGUGGCGGGCAGGAUGAGGUGUAUUUGUCCCCAGCCUUGCUGGGAUUUUUCCGGUUUGUGGAGCCUAUUUCCCCAAAGGCCCCAGGCCUGUGCCAUGGAAUUCCCUGGCAGAAGCCAGGUCUGAGGACCAGGUCUGAGAAGGGCAAUGGGCACUGCUUGGAAUUAGGGAUGUCUCUUGUCCUUGUAGCAUUUUCUGUUGCUUACCUCUUUUUCCCUCUUUCUUUUUGUUUUUGUGCUUUAUAUUUGGUUUGCUUUUUAAAAAACCUGUCACCCCCCCUUGUUUAUUUUUCUUUGUUUCUCUACCUGUCACUUCUUUCCUCCAUUUCUUUUCUGCUUGCCAUUUUUCUCCUUGGCUCCCUACAUACCUCUAUUCUCCUCCCCGUCCUGGGUGCCUUCUCAAGUCCUUCAGGCUUAAUCUCCUUCCUUGUCCUUCCUUCCAUGUGGAGCUGAAAAGAGAUGGCAGGAGGGCAUUGCACUUCUUGGCAGCAUCAUGGAAGUAGGUGCCGGUGAUUGGGUGCUUGGUGGAGAAGGGAGGCAUGGGUGAAGUAUGCAAGAGCAUACUUCUUGGAAGCCAGGGGGUGUGUAGGGACAGCAAAGAAUUCUGUUCCUUCCUCCAGAAGCCUCUGCCUGAACCACAGCAGCAAUCCUGGAACUUCUGUGUUUGCUGCUGUUGCUGUGAUGGACAUCUCAGUCCUGUUGCUGCCCAGUAACUUCAGAAAACUAGAUUUCUCCCCCAUUUUCUGACCAGGUUGUUAGCCCAACAUUCAGGCAUUUGGUUCCUGUUGUGUGUGUCACUGUACAACUCCAACAGGAACAUUAAAGGGCCAAAUGCCAUGCUUGUGGAGGUAAGGGACAAUACUUUCUGAAUGGAUCUGUGAAUCCUACAAAUCCAAAUGUGUGAUGUCACUGAGGCAACCUGCCAUUUCUACCCUGAGACCCUAGAUGCCCACAAAAUUGUAUGAUCCUCAUAAGACACUCUUUAAAAUCACCUUGCAUUGUUUGUUGGAUAUCAGGCCUGUGUUGUCUAUGUAUGAGCAAACAAGAGGGAUAAGCAGCUCAGAAAGAUUAUUGAGCACAUAAAUAGAAGAAUUGAUAUUCAGACUUUAGUAACUCUAACUCCAGAAGUCCUUGCUCUAACUAUUGUUGUUUCUGAUCUUUUAUUAGUAAACUUUUAAGACUUCAAUUCACAAUAAGAAAUUGUUUACAUGUAACUAUAAUAAUAUCUACAUUUCUAACACAAACUCUUCAUGAAAUAAUGUAUACCUAUGUAUGUGAGACAUUCUGAUACUUUCUAUUAUAUUCAAUCUUUCCUAUCUCAUUACAUUUAUGAGAAGCAUAUGUUGGCUGGGAGUCAUCAUUUUAAUUUAAUGACUCACUAAAGAGUUUUGAAUGGUGUUGAAAAAAUAUCACUGUUAAGAUAUACAAACAUAUGUCUCAGUGUUGUACCUGUGGGAGUAUUGCAUUGUGCCAUCAGUUUUACAGUCAGUGUGCACAAGGAGCCCAAGACAGUGCAACAUACUGACUUGUGAGUUUUAUGGAAAUACUAGAACCCUGAAGACGAGGCUGUCUGGAGGUGAGGAAAAGCUGUCAACUGUGCUGGUUACAUUUGUGCUGCUCUCAGACUGGGGACACUGUCACUGCUAAGGGGACUCCUCCGAAGUCAUGAUAAUCCCUGUGGGGUUUUAGUAAAAAAAAAAAAAAAAAAAGAGAAAAAAUACUAUGAUAUUGAAACCAUU